rnacentral:lncRNA from 1 species
UGGAAUAGGAAGUGUCUUGGUCUUCUAAAACAUUUCAAUCCAAAAACGAGAUAUGUUUCAUCUAUUUCAGUAUCAUUAUAAUUAUUGUGUAAGAAAAAAUGGUCUAACACAUAUAAAAAUUAGGAUGAAAAGUGUUUCUAUUAAAUAAAAAUUAUAACAUGAAUGAAUGAUAAUAAUUAAAAUAAUAUAAUGUCAGAGAACAUGUUCAAUAUAAAAAAGAAACUAAAAUAGGACAAAAUAUAAACAAACAUCAAAUUAUAAACUAAACAAAUAUAAUCUUCAUGCUUGAAGGUGAAGAAACC